rnacentral:lncRNA from 1 species
UUCGACAAUCCAGAGUUGGUAAACGAAGUAGAAAAGUGGGAAAGCACGCGGUAAAGUUUACUCGCGACGACGGGUACGAUCGCGCGGAGGUUUGGAGCUGAGCCAAAACACCACCGUGUGUUCCUCUCCACGUCCGCUGGACCAGUUUUCUUUAUCCGGCUUUACACCGCGAACAGAUUUCGAAACGACCGGUUCUCCUUCCACGAAAACGAAACGCCCGUUUUCGGCGGCGGCGACGGCGGCGGCGGCAGCAGCAGCGACGACGAAAAUAAAGCGGCACCCGCGAUAUCCUUGCGAACUUUACGAUCCUGUAACGGACGCACGCACACGCGCACGCGCACAUACUGUCCGCCAUGUUCGAUGAAGGUAUUAUAACGUGGAUUGGGCAGAGGGCCUCCGAAGCGAAGCGUCUUCCUCGCGUUCUCGUCGCACGUGGCGAGUUGGGAGGAAAAAAAGAGAAGUAAUUUUGCAUCGGGUUGCAAAACUCGUCGCGAAUUAUCGUUUCGCAACGAUAAUCGACGAUCAGGUGGAGUAUAAAGGAUCGUUUACAAAGCAGAAAAGAGAACAACGAAGAAAGGAAGCAGGAAAGGUCGUUUAGCUAGGCGUAUCUCCAAUCGAAGUGCCAUAAUUCGCAUAACCUCUUAUUUAUAUAAGUCGUGGAUAAAAUAAACACCGAUUUUUUCUUCUCUCUCUCUUUUUUCGCGUGCAUUUAAUCGCACGUGCGAGAUAAAUUAUCGCGCGUAUUCGUAAUUCGAUAUUUCUUAAUCACAAUUUCGCGGAAAAAUUUCUUUCGAAACCGAAACCGAACUUGAAGAAAACUCGAACCCAUUUUAGAAGCUCGUUUCGACUUGAUCGGAAGGAAGAAAGGAGCGUGUCGAAGGAUCCGUAUUCCGAAUUCUUCCUAACCAACAUUCGCGCAUGACAACAAUGCCCGCCACUUUCCGGUUCAACCUCUACGCGGAUCUGUUACGUGAUUCCCGCAACGCGUCGACCGACUCGACGUUUCCUCGAAUCGGAAAGUUCCACUGUUCCGUGAAAUUUUUAAUCGAGAAAUUGUUGGACGGGAAAGCGGGAUGCGUCGAAUUAAAUUUCAUUUCUCUCUCCUCUUCCUCCCAUCCUCCCUUUCGUGUUAUUUCGACAGGAACUCGUUUCGACGAGAUUCUGGACGGACAAAUUGCGGGCAAAAUAAGACAAUUACACCUCUCCGUUGAAAACCGUUAAAUUCGUUGCGAAAUAGCAUAGGAGUUGCGUAAGCAAAACCGGUGAAUCUGCUUUUUACCAAGUGGAGAGAAAAGUGGAGGGGGAUAGACUCGAUGUUUUGCAAGAGUUCUGUUUGGAGGAGGACGAGAUUUUUUUUUUGCCAUUCAAAAACGUUAUUGGGAUUCCACUAUACUAUACAUUUAUAUAUAUAUAUAAUAAUAAAGAGCAUAUCGACACACGUGCAUUCGAUUAAUUCCAAGCUAAACACAAAAAUUGGUAUAGAAAAAUCUGAAUUAAAAUUUAUUUAAAUUUGUAAUAAAUUCAACGAUACUCUCUCUUGCCUCUCUCUUCUGAAUUUCAACCAAAGUUUAUACUUUGGAAAAGAAAUUUUGAGAGAGGAGAAAUACAACACUCGAUCGAUCUGUAAUACAACGAUUCUGAAGAUAGACGUGGAUAAUAAUAUAGGUCGUUGAACCUGGGGACCACGUCACGCCUCUGAAAGCCCGUUAGAUAUCUGGGCGAGAGAGACAGGCAGGAGCCAUCGGCCAACCUUGAUCGCCCGUAUCUGCCAUUGAGAGGAACGGUAGUCUACCAGGAUCGUUCGAUUCCGGAUCGGUAGGCGGCACGUUUUCACCGGCCUUGAACAUCAGACGUCCGUCAAACAGAGGAGGAGAGACGAAUAGCCGGGCGUAUAGGGGAUCGGGCAGAGUCGAGAAAGGGAACUUGUGUACGCAGCCAGGUCACGUUCCACCUUCGUGUGUACUCCCUGCUUUCCCGCCUCUACGCCUAUUCCUACGCGCCUUUCCGACCGACAGAAACGAGACUCCGCGCCUCUUUCAUCCUCCGUUCAACGGAUCCAGAUCCCAACUUUGAAGUGUGAAACAAUCCAAAAUUAAAAGAGAAAACACGCAGGAAUAACAUCAACCAAACAACAAACCCUCCCGAUCUCGACACUUCUUCAGGAAGGUGUAUAUCUGUGUGUGAGAGAGAAAGAAAAAAAAAUUAAAAAAAAAAAAAAAGAGAAAAAAAAAAGAAGAGGCACGGCCACGUUUUCCACGUCGCGUAUCCUUUGUUCUCCUGUUGUUGCGCGCACGGUGCAUCGACGUGCAAACUGCGCAGCGAGCUAAUCUCGGGGAAAAGAUAAGAGAAUCGUGGGAGCGCGAGGAGGACGGGUCGGGGAGAGGGGAGGGAGGAGUGGAGGGGGAGGGCGGAGGGGGGCGGAGGAGGCGGAGCACGUGGCGCGCGAUGGCUAGGUCAAACGCGCACAAUGCCCGAAUAAACCGAAACGCGACAGCCAGCGUGGAAAAUACAUCGGGUAAUUCCGAACUGACAGACGUGCCACCGCGUGCACACGUGCUCCCCGACCAACACUGUUUUCCUCUCCCCCCUUCCCCUCCUCCUCGUAUCGUAUUCCAUCGUAUUCCGCUUCGAGAGAUCGAGGUUACGAUUAUGAAUUUUCCAUCUCUCUCUCUCUCUCUCUAUAUUACGAAUGAGAAUCGAAAAGAAAAUUUUCGAAGAGGAAUUAACAAUAUUAUUAUUAAUCGUUGAAAAUUAUUGGGGCGUGCACGUCGCGCAAUCGCUUUUCCGCAGUAAUCGUGCAAACUCGAUCGACGCAGAGCGAGCGAGUUUUCGCGAAAUUGCGUCUGAGAAGUGAAACAGAGACGAAGGGAUCUUUUCUUUUCCUUUUUUUUACGGUUUCAUGGGUGGUCUUCUCGCGUAAUCUCUCGAUCGGCGUGGUACGGAUGCGCGCCAUCCACGAAACGAAGCUAUACACACGGUUCAAGAAACUUGCCGCGCUAUCGGUCGGAGACUUUCUAGGAAAGUGAUGGCUUCCGUGUCGAACGAGCGCGACGGUAUUCCGCGUUAUCGUUCGAAAAGUGGCCAUUUAUCGUUCCGCCUUAAGGCGAUAAGUCUCUUGCGUUUCCUUCGAAAAAUUCUUACCUCCCUCCCUCUCUCUCUGUCUCUCUCUCUCCUCGAUCGAAAAAUUGUUUCCGCUUUUAUUAUUGUUCGAGUAGAAGAUAAUUUCAAGGAUCACACUUGGAACGUUAAAACGAGAGAAAGAAAAAUUAAAAAUUUCGAAAUAAUGUUACCUUCGAUGUAUUUGAUUAUCCGUUAAAAGGCUCGGACAAUGUGUAUUUAUUCGUAGCUAUUACAACAGAUACACGCUUUUCGUGUAACCUCGGCCGUUUAUAUGCCUAUCGUAAUUAUCUCCAAUUAUUCAUUACAUUUCGAACGUGAUAAAAUUAUCCAGGCAAUUUAUCCAACUAACAAUUUUCCUAAACUUCACCAAUCUUUAAAUUUUGAACAGAACGGAGAGAGAGAAGGAGGAAAGACGAUUAUCGAAAAGUUAAUUUAUCUCCGCUAAAGGAGAAAAAUAAUUAAAGAUAAUUCGGUGACGAUCACGCGUUGCGAUCGAAGCGCGUCUCGAGGCGAGGCGAGUCGAAAUGCCGGGCGCGGAACGAGGAGAGAUGGCCGAGGAUAAGAGAGCGCGCGUGUGUAUACACACACCGUUCGAGGGUCGUUCGCAGCAUUGUGCGCAGCGUGGAGGACUUUCCAGUUAAAACGUGCAAAUAAACAGCGGGAGUGGCUCGAAUUAAGCACGACUCCCGCAGCGGCCGUGAGGGAAAAGGAGAGCAAAAAAGAUGGCGGGCAAAAAGGAGAAGCUCGAAAGGGGGACGCGAGAGGGCGACAGGAGCGAGAGGGAGAAGGAGAGAAGAAGAAGGAGAAGGAGAACGGUGCCAGAACCCGGGCAGAAAGAGAAGACGGAUGAGUGACACAAGGUGGUUGGUGCGCUUACUUUUCUCUAGCGAUGGCACCGACCAACGAUCCUUCUCGCUCUCGAACAACGACAAAUCACACUGUUCUAAAUUACUACAAUUUUUAAAUAGAUUAUAUAUACAUUUACAA